CUAUACAUGCAAGUCGAACGCUUUUUCUUUCACCGGAGCUUGCUCCACCGAAAGAAAAGGAGUGGCGAACGGGUGAGUAACACGUGGGUAACCUGCCCAUCAGAAGGGGAUAACACUUGGAAACAGGUGCUAAUACCGUAUAACAAUCGAAACCGCAUGGUUUCGGUUUGAAAGGCGCUUUUGCGUCACUGAUGGAUGGACCCGCGGUGCAUUAGCUAGUUGGUGAGGUAACGGCUCACCAAGGCAACGAUGCAUAGCCGACCUGAGAGGGUGAUCGGCCACAUUGGGACUGAGACACGGCCCAAACUCCUACGGGAGGCAGCAGUAGGGAAUCUUCGGCAAUGGACGCAAGUCUGACCGAGCAACGCCGCGUGAGUGAAGAAGGUUUUCGGAUCGUAAAACUCUGUUGUUAGAGAAGAACAAGGAUGAGAGUAGAAUGUUCAUCCCUUGACGGUAUCUAACCAGAAAGCCACGGCUAACUACGUGCCAGCAGCCGCGGUAAUACGUAGGUGGCAAGCGUUGUCCGGAUUUAUUGGGCGUAAAGCGAGCGCAGGCGGUUUCUUAAGUCUGAUGUGAAAGCCCCCGGCUCAACCGGGGAGGGUCAUUGGAAACUGGGAAACUUGAGUGCAGAAGAGGAGAGUGGAAUUCCAUGUGUAGCGGUGAAAUGCGUAGAUAUAUGGAGGAACACCAGUGGCGAAGGCGGCUCUCUGGUCUGUAACUGACGCUGAGGCUCGAAAGCGUGGGGAGCAAACAGGAUUAGAUACCCUGGUAGUCCACGCCGUAAACGAUGAGUGCUAAGUGUUGGAGGGUUUCCGCCCUUCAGUGCUGCAGCUAACGCAUUAAGCACUCCGCCUGGGGAGUACGACCGCAAGGUUGAAACUCAAAGGAAUUG
rnacentral:rRNA from 1 species